GGGGAAUAUUGGACAAUGGGCGAAAGCCUGAUCCAGCCAUGCCGCGUGUGUGAAGAAGGUCUUCGGAUUGUAAAGCACUUUAAGUUGGGAGGAAGGGCAGUAAGCUAAUACCUUGCUGUUUUGACGUUACCGACAGAAUAAGCACCGGCUAACUUCGUGCCAGCAGCCGCGGUAAUACGAAGGGUGCAAGCGUUAAUCGGAAUUACUGGGCGUAAAGCGCGCGUAGGUGGUUUGAUAAGUUGGAUGUGAAAGCCCCGGGCUCAACCUGGGAAUUGCAUCCAAAACUGUCUGACUAGAGUAUGGCAGAGGGUGGUGGAAUUUCCUGUGUAGCGGUGAAAUGCGUAGAUAUAGGAAGGAACACCAGUGGCGAAGGCGACCACCUGGGCUAAUACUGACACUGAGGUGCGAAAGCGUGGGGAGCAAAC
rnacentral:rRNA from 1 species